rnacentral:rRNA from 1 species
AGCAUGUGGUUUAAUUCGAAGCAACGCGAAGAACCUUACCAGGUCUUGACAUCCCGAUGCUAUUCUAGAGAUAGAAAGUUACUUCGGUACAUCGGUGACAGGUGGUGCAUGGUUGUCGUCAGCUCGUGUCGUGAGAUGUUGGGUUAAGUCCCGCAACGAGCGCAACCCCUAUUGUUAGUUGCCAUCAUUCAGUUGGGCACUCUAGCGAGACUGCCGGUAAUAAACCGGAGGAAGGUGGGGAUGACGUCAAAUCAUCAUGCCCCUUAUGACCUGGGCUACACACGUGCUACAAUGGUUGGUACAACGAGUUGCGAGUCGGUGACGGCGAGCUAAUCUCUUAAAGCCAAUCUCAGUUCGGAUUGUAGGCUGCAACUCGCCUACAUGAAGUCGGAAUCGCUAGUAAUCGCGGAUCAGCACGCCGCGGUGAAUACGUUCCCGGGCCUU